rnacentral:rRNA from 1 species
UUUAUGGAGAGUUUGAUCCUGGCUCAGGAUGAACGCUGGCGGCGUGCCUAAUACAUGCAAGUCGAGCGAACGGACGAGAAGCUUGCUUCUCUGAUGUUAGCGGCGGACGGGUGAGUAACACGUGGAUAACCUACCUAUAAGACUGGGAUAACUUCGGGAAACCGUAGCUAAUACCGGAUAAUAUUUUGAACCGCAUGGUUCAAAAGUGAAAGACGGUCUUGCUG